UUGCACAGUGAACACCCAAGUGUGCUUUGUAGUUCCCUGGCUUUGACUCUGUGCUAGAGUAAUGUCCUGUUCUUUCCCUCUGCAUUGAAAGGACUAUUUUUUUCCUUUUAAAUGUAUUCAGAAAGGCAGCACAUAC
ensembl:snoRNA